rnacentral:rRNA from 1 species
CCUACGGGAGGCAGCAGUGAGGAAUAUUGGUCAAUGGACGAGAGUCUGAACCAGCCAAGUAGCGUGAAGGAUGACUGCCCUAUGGGUUGUAAACUUCUUUUAUAUGGGAAUAAAAUGUUCCACGUGUGGGAUUUUGUAUGUACCAUAUGAAUAAGGAUCGGCUAACUCCGUUCCAGCAGCCGCGGUAAUACGGAGGAUCCGAGCGUUAUCCGGAUUUAUUGGGUUUAAAGGGAGCGUAGGUGGAUUGUUAAGUCAGUUGUGAAAGUUUGCGGCUCAACCGUAAAAUUGCAGUUGAAACUGGCAGUCUUGAGUACAGUAGAGGUGGGCGGAAGUCGUGGUGUAGCGGUGAAAUGCUUAGAUAUCACGAAGAACUCCGAUUGCGAAGGCAGUUCACUGGACUGCAACUGACACUGAGGCUCGAAAGUGUGGGUAUCAAACAGGAUUAGAUACCCGAGUAGUC